GACGAACGCUGGCGGCGUGCCUAAUACAUGCAAGUAGGACGCAGUUGCGAACGGGUGAGUAACGCGUAGGUAACUACCUAUUAGAGGGGGAUAACUAUUGGAAACGAUAGCUAAUACCGCAUACUAGUAGAUGGACCUGCGUUGUAUUAGCUAGUAGGUAGGGUAAUGGCCUACCUAAGCAACGAGACAUAGCCGACCUGGGAGGGUGGGCGGCCACACUGGGACUGAGAGACGGCCCAGACUCCCACGGGAGGCCGCGGUGGGGAAACUACGGCAAUGGGGGGAAACCUGACCGGGAAACUCCGCGUGAGUGAGGAGAGUUUUCGGGUCGUAAAACUCUGUUGUUGAGGAAGCGGUACUUAACCAGAAAGGCACGGCUAACUACGUGCCAGCAGCCGGGGUAAUUC
rnacentral:rRNA from 1 species